UAUCAAAAGCUUGCAUUUGCCUCAAGCAUUUUUUUUUUUCUAUCUUGAGACAAUAUCUACGAAUAAAUAUUCAUACAAACACGAAUUUGGUCUAAAAGAGAAUGGUGUAAAACUUUCACAUGGAAGCUUCCAAUGAAAUGUGCCCCAUCACCAAAGAAGUGCCCCAAUCCCGAUGGUCUCAUGACCUGGACCAUCGUUCACUUUCCUGUCUGCUCCACGUCAGCACACUCAAGCCGCGGUGCUUACGCGAACCUUCGUGUCGAAAGCCCUAUUUCUAGGUUUGAAGCCCAGAGCUCUGUUUGCACGAUUUCCGCGACGAUCCCUUCACAAAUUUGGGGUUUGGAACUUGCACUUUAGGCAUCCCGAGUAGUCAAUCCCGUGCGCAUCCGCAACCAUCAACUAGGUUUGAUUUUAUUCUGUUAUAUUCUAUUCUGUGCGGAAUAGUUUGUCACAGUAUUCAAGAGGGUUGUCUGCUGCUUCAGCGCUGCGGCCGAGCUUCACGUGCGCUUGUCGAACUCGCAGCCACAUGCUCAUUGCGAAGAACCAUCACUGCUGUGCAAUCGAUCCCCCAUGUCCACUUCGAGGCCCUGAAUAGUGUGCACCGUUAAUGAGAAUGGAGAGUUGUAAUCUCUGGAAGCUUAUUUUUUCGAGAUUGCAUACGUGUGGGUUUUGGGUGUUAUUCCUACUGGCCGUUUCUUUGCGGCGCCACUGCUCUUCAACUCGUGCGACGAUUGUUGGAGUGUGAGUUAAAUGUUUGUUGCCCAUUUUAGAGCGUUGUUAAAGGCGCGGUGAGAUAUGCGCAUUUGAAUUGCAUGUCGACGAGCAUGAAAGGUAUAGCACACGUGGGAGGGAAUGCUGAGCCGUUCAGGUGGAUCCACACAAGCGUGAUGGGGGCGAUGGUGUGGUAUGGUGUGGCGUUCUCUCGUGGUGUUGAGUUCGUCAGCCGAUGGGGAAUUGAGCCGUUGGAACAACUGAUGCAAAACAAAAAAUCGUCCUUCGCAAGCCCAUGACGAUUGGUAUGCGUGAUGUUGCGGAUGCGAUGCUGAGCGGGCUGCUGUUACAAUUCGUCGUAUCCAAUUCGGUCCUGUCGACAAGUUCCAGUGGGGGCCAUUUCUCUGAAUUAGGUCAGUGCAUGCAAUGAAGCACCCAGUUUGCUCAUCUUAAAAAAUCAGAGUCAGCCUUAAGGUUUUACAUUAGAGUGCAGUUUAUGAAAUCAUUAUGUUGUUCAAAAUAUAAAUGAAUGCACACUUUAAGGUUCGACAUGGCUCCAAGGCCGAUCAAAUAUAUCAGCUUUGAAUCUUGGGACCAUGUUAAGGAAGUUGGUUAAUGUUUAA